rnacentral:rRNA from 1 species
GACGAACGCUGGCGGCGUGCUUAACACAUGCAAGUCGAACGGACAGACCCUGCUCUUGUUGUUUUCUCGAUUGGCGCACGGGUGAGUAUCACGUGAGUAACCUCCCCUUUACUUUGGGAUAAAUUCCGGAAACUGGGGCCAAUACCGGAUAGGAGCUCCUGCUGCAUGGUGGCGAUUGGAAAGUUUCGGCUGUUGGAGAUGUACUCGAGGCUUAUCAGCUUGUUGGUGGGUUAGUGGCUUACCAAGGGUUCGACGGGUAGCCGGCCUGAGAGGGGGACCGGCGUCAUGGGGACUGAGAUAGGGACCAGACUGCUACGGGAGGCAGCAGUGGGGAAUAUUGCACAAUGGGCGGGAGCGUGAUGCGGAAACGCCGGGAGCGGGAUGACGUCCUACGGGUUGUGAACAGAUGUCGACUGUACCGAAGAGUGAGUGACGGUAAUUGGUAAAGAAGCACCGGCUAACUACGUG